rnacentral:rRNA from 1 species
UACGGAGAGUGCAAACGUUGUUCGGAUUCACUGGGCGUAAAGGGCACGUAGGCGGCUCGGCAAAUCGGUCGUGGAAUCUCGACGCUUACCGUCGAAACGGCGGCCGAAAAUACCGGGCUCGAGGGCGUGAGGGGUCACUGGAACUCCUGGUGAAGCGGUGAAAUGCGUAGAUAUCUGGAGGAACACCGGUGGCGAAGGCGGCAUCCUGGACCGGCAUUGACGCUGAGGCGCGAAAGCUAGGGGAGCAAACGGG